ensembl:rRNA 5S_rRNA 5S ribosomal RNA
GGUUGCGGCCAUACCACCCUGUCUGUGCCUGAUCUAGUCUGAUCUCAGAAGCUAAGCAGGGUAGGGCCUGGUUAGUACUUG